rnacentral:rRNA from 1 species
UGGGGAAUAUUGGACAAUGGAGGAAACUCUGAUCCAGCAAUUCUGUGUGUGUGAAGAAGGUUUUAGGACUGUAAAACACUUUUAGUAGGGAAGAAAAAAAUGACGGUACCUACAGAAGAAGCAACGGCUAAAUACGUGCCAGCAGCCGCGGUAAUACGUAUGUUGCGAGCGUUAUCCGGAAUUAUUGGGCUUAAAGGGCAUCUAGGCGGUAAGACAAGUUGAAGGUGAAAACCUGUGGCUCAACCAUAGGCUUGCCUACAAAACUGUUGAACUAGAGUACUGGAAAGGUGGGUGGAACUACACGAGUAGAGGUGAAAUUCGUAGAUAUGUGUAGGAAUGCCGAUGAUGAAGAUAACUCACUGGACAGAGACUGACGCUGAAGUGCGAAAGCUAGGGGAGCAAACAGG